AGGGUUUGAUCAUGGCUCAGAACGAACGCUGGCGGCAGGCCUAACACAUGCAAGUCGAGCGAGAAGCCACCUUCGGGUGGUGGGCAGCGGCGGACGGGUGAGUAACGCGUAGGAAUUUACCUUGGAGUGGGGGACAACCACUGGAAACGGUGGCUAAUACCGCAUACGCCCGAGUGAUAUGAUGUCAUUUGGGGAAAGAUUUAUUGCUCUGGGAUGAUCCUGCGUCGGAUUAGCUUGUUGGUGAGGUAACGGCUCACCAAGGCUGCGAUCCGUAGCUGGUUUGAGAGGAUGAUCAGCCACACUGGGACUGAGACACGGCCCAGACUCCUACGGGAGGCAGCAGUGGGGAAUAUUGCACAAUGGGCGCAAGCCUGAUGCAGCCAUGCCGCGUGAGUGAAGAAGGCCUUAGGGUUGUAAAGCUCUUUCAACGGUGAAGAUGAUGACGGUAGCCGUAGAAGAAGCCCCGGCUAACUCCGUGCUAGCAGCCGCGGUAAUACGGAGGGGGCAAGCGUUGUUCGGAAUUACUGGGCGUAAAGGGCACGUAGGCGGCGAUGCGGGUCAGGUGUGAAAGCCCCGGGCUUAACCUGGGAACUGCACUUGAAACUGCAUUGCUUGAGGACGGAAGAGGAGAAUGGAAUUCCCAGUGUAGAGGUGAAAUUCGUAGAUAUUGGGAAGAACACCAGUGGCGAAGGCGAUUCUCUGGUCCGUAUCUGACGCUGAGGUGCGAAAGCGUGGGGAGCAAACAGGAUUAGAUACCC
rnacentral:rRNA from 1 species